AUGAUGGCAGCAGCAGCAGCCGUUCUCCUCUGCGUGCAGCAUUAUGUCGAGGUGCAGUGAGUCCCAGCCAUGUGUCACCGAGGCCCAGGAGCCAGCAGAUUUUCACUGGCAAUAAAUACUGUAGCCGGGAUCGCUUCGUGGAUGACAUCAACCCUUCAUCAAGCCGAGAACCCUGGAAAUGGGGGGCACUAAACAAGACUAAAGCAAGAAUUUAUUAAAAGUGUCCCUGCAGGGUACGAGUGUUAAACAGUGGGGGUGAAUGCUGCUGAGGCCUUCACACAACAGGGCAAAAUGGCUCCUAUUAUCCUCACUGUGACUUCCCUGAUACUGUGUGUAUGUACUUCACUGCUGGAUGCAUACUCCAAGAAAUCCUCUUUACAAUGAAGACAGAGUCCCACCGAGCCACAGCAAGGUCCAGUGAUCACCUUGAAUGAUAUACUAGGAGCUCAUUCCUGUUGUUUCUGAGGCAGAAACCAGCACUACUUCCUAUUUUCUGAUUUUUAUUUCCUAUGAACCAACUCCUUUAAGAAACGUCAUAAUUACAGAAAAAACUGCAUAGCCAUUGUGCACAGUUUGCUUUACUGCUGGUGUGUAUUAUCUUUGUAUAUGUACAUUGUAUAUUGUAUAUUGUUUCUGGUCUACAAAAAUAUCUACUUGGACAAUUACAUGGCAGCAUC